UAAAGCCCAUUUUCAUUAUCUGUAUCACGUACUCCCAGUGUGAAGUUACUUAGGUUACCUUGUUUCUUAAUCCAUCAAAAACUCUUUUCUUUGUCCUUAGCAUUCUUUGUUUAAAGUUGUAUAUAAGGGGAACUUGAGAGAUUUGAAUUUACUUACAACACAUAUAUUAAAUAUUGCUUUCAACACACGUUUGUACUUUUAUUUUCCAAGAUUUCCCUUUCUGAGAAAUAUUUGUCAAUUAGUAAACAUAUAAGGCAGGCUACAAAAGAUAUCAUUUGUAUAG